rnacentral:rRNA from 1 species
AGAGUUUGAUCCUGGCUCAGGACGAACGCUGGCGGCGUGCCUAAUACAUGCAAGUCGAGCGAACCAAUGGGAGCUUGCUCCCUGAGGUUAGCGGCGGACGGGUGAGUAACACGUGGGUAACCUGCCUGUAAGAUUGGGAUAACUCCGGGAAACCGGAGCUAAUACCGGAUAACAUUUCGAACCGCAUGGUUCGAAGUUGAAAGAUGGUUUCGGCUAUCACUUACAGAUGGGCCCGCGGUGCAUUAGCUAGUUGGUGAGGUAACGGCUCACCAAGGCAACGAUGCAUAGCCGACCUGAGAGGGUGAUCGGCCACACUGGGACUGAGACACGGCCCAGACUCCUACGGGAGGCAGCAGUAGGGAAUCUUCCGCAAUGGACGAAAGUCUGACGGAGCAACGCCGCGUGAGUGAUGAAGGCUUUCGGGUCGUAAAACUCUGUUGUUAGGGAAGAACAAGUACAAGAGUAACUACUUGUACCUUGACGGUACCUAACCAGAAAGCCACGGCUAACUACGUGCCAGCAGCCGCGGUAAUACGUAGGUGGCAAGCGUUAUCCGGAAUUAUUGGGCGCAAAGCGCGCGCAGGCGGUUUCUUAAGUCUGAUGUGAAAGCCCACGGCUCAACCGUGGAGGGUCAUUGGAAACUGGGGAACUUGAGUGCAGAAGAGAAAAGCGGAAUUCCACGUGUAGCGGUGAAAUGCGUAGAGAUGUGGAGGAACACCAGUGGCGAAGGCGGCUUUUUGGUCUGUAACU